rnacentral:sRNA from 1 species
UCAUUGCACACACAUGAAUGUUGCAGCAAACCUCGGUUUUGGCGAACCUCUGAACUGUCCCUCCGAACUUGGAACCCGGUGGCGGGCUUCCUCUCUCCUUCUUCGGGGGUUCGCUCCUUCGCUUCUCCCUUUGUCUUCGGGCGGGGGAGGUGGGGGAGCGGCCCGAUUGGAGUAGCGGGGGGUUCCGCACCCGGCGACCAAGUGAAACCAACCGCUCUCGCGAGCGGAUGGCGCAAUGCAUCGACGCUUUGACCCAUGACUGAGUCCCUAAAUACUUUGGGAGGAGCCCUCGCCGGCUCUCCCCCGAGUUGUGAAAUAACCAAAAACAACUCUCAGCAACGGAUAUCUUGGCUCUUGCAACGAUGAAGAACGCAGCGAAAUGCGAUACGUAGUGUGAAUUGCAGAAUUCCGCGAAUCAUCGAGUCUUUGAACGCAAGUUGCGCCCGAGGCUUGUCCGAGGGCAUUUCCGCUAGAGCGUCACCGCGCUCCCCCACCGAUCCACCUCGACCGAGAGUGUUUUCGCGUGGAAGUGGUCGUCCCGACGCCGGGCGGCGGUGUACUCCACCGUCGUCGAUCGGGUCGGCUGAAAUGGAGAGAAUUGGACCGCCGUGGCGACGGAGCCCGCGAUCAGGUGAUCCGAGCGCAAGCCCGGAACUCAAACGCGCGAGGCUGCGUCGCCCAGUUGGAUUCUAUACUGUGAAAGCAGGUCUGCGCGUCCGUCCUUCGGGUGGACGCGCGCACGUCACGCAUCAGA